AGCAGCCGCGAUAAUUCCAGCUCCAAUAGCGUAUAUUAAAGUUGCUGCAGUUAAAAAGCUCGUAGUUGAAUUUUGGGAUCAAUAUGUUGGUCGUGCCUCGGUACGUACUAGCUUAUUGGUUUCUUCCUUCUGACGAACCAUAAUGUCAUUUAUUUGGUGUUAUGGGAAUCAGGACUGUUACUUUGAAAAAUUAGAGUGUUUAAAGCAGGCUCACGCUUGAAUACAUUAGCAUGGAAUAAUGAAAUAGGACGUUUGAUUCUAUUUUGUUUGGUUUCUAGGAUCGACGUAAUGAUUAAUAGGGAUAGUUGGGGGCAUUAGUAUUCAAUUAGUCAGAGGUGAAAUUCUUGGAUUUAUUGAAGACUAACUACUGCGAAAG
rnacentral:rRNA from 1 species